UCACGAAAAAGGCAAACCUCUCGAAAGGGGGGGACGCAAAGCCAUGGGUCUAAGGUCGCGCAAACUGCGGCUAUGAUCGCCGGGUUACCGAA
rnacentral:ncRNA from 1 species